UACGUAGGGCGCGAGCGUUGUCCGGAUUUAUUGGGCGUAAAGAGCUCGUAGGCGGCUUGUCGCGUCGUCCGUGAAAACCCGCGGCUUAACUGCGGGCUUGCGGUUGAUACGGGCGGGCUAGAGUUCGGUAGGGGAGACUGGAAUUUCUGGUGUAGCGGUGAAAUGCGCAGAUAUCAGGAGGAACACCGGUGGCGAAGGCGGGUCUCUGGGCCGAUACUGACGCUGAGGAGCGAAAGCGUGGGGAGCGAACAGG
rnacentral:rRNA from 1 species